rnacentral:rRNA from 1 species
AGAGUUUGAUCCUGGCUCAGAGUGAACGCUGGCGGCGUGCUUAACACAUGCAAGUCGAACGGAACCUUCGGGUUUAGUGGCGCACGGGUGAGUAAUGUAUAGCUAACAUGCCCUUUAGAGGGGGAUAACAGUUGGAAACGACUGCUAAUACCCCAUACUCCUUCUUACUUAAUGUAAGUUGGGAAAGUUUUUUCGCUAAAGGAUUGGGCUAUAUGGUAUCAGCUUGUUGGUGAGGUAAUGGCUCACCAAGGCUAUGACGCCUAACUGGUCUGAGAGGAUGAUCAGUCACACUGGAACUGAGACACGGUCCAGACUCCUACGGGAGGCAGCAGUGGGGAAUAUUACACAAUGGAGGAAACUCUGAUGUAGCAACGCCGCGUGGAGGAUGACACAUUUCGGUGCGUAAACUCCUUUUAUUAGGGAAGAUAAUGACGGUACCUAAUGAAUAAGCACCGGCUAACUCCGUGCCAGCAGCCGCGGUAAUACGGAGGGUGCAAGCGUUACUCGGAAUCACUGGGCGUAAAGCGCAUGUAGGCGGUCUUGUAAGUUGGGUGUGAAAGCCUAUGGCUCAACCAUAGAACUGCACCCAAAACUACUAGACUAGAGUCUGGGAGAGGAAAAUGGAAUUAGUUGUGUAGGGGUAAAAUCCGUAGAGAUAACUAGGAAUACCAAAAGCGAAGGCAAUUUUCUGGAACAGUACUGACGCUCAGAUGCGAAAGCGUGGGUAGCAAACAGGAUUAGAUACCCUGGUAGUCCACGCCCUAAACGAUGAAUGUUAGUCGUCGGGAGGCUCGUCCUUUCGGUGAUGCAGUUAACACAUUAAACAUUCCGCCUGGGGAGUACGGUCGCAAGAUUAAAACUCAAAGGAAUAGACNGGGGACCCGCACAAGUGGUGGAGCAUGUGGUUUAAUUCGAAGAUACGCGAAGAACCUUACCUAGCCUUGACAUUGAUAGAAUCUGAUAGAAAUAUCGGAGUGCCAGUUUACUGGANCUGAAAACNNNNCUGCACGGCNUGUCGUCAGCUNNNGGUCNNGAGAUGUUGNUUAAGUCCC